GCUCAAAUUUAAAAUCUGGCGGUCUCCGGCCGUCCGAGUUGUAAUCUAGAGAAGUGUUAUCCGCGCUGGACCGUGUACAAGUCUCCUGGAAUGGAGCGUCAUAGAGGGUGAGAAUCCCGUCUUUGACACGGACUGCCAGGGCUUUGUGAUGCGCUCUCAAAGAGUCGAGUUGUUUGGGAAUGCAGCUCAAAAUGGGUGGUAAAUUCCAUCUAAAGCUAAAUAUUGGCGAGAGACCGAUAGCGAACAAGUACCGUGAGGGAAAGAUGAAAAGAACUUUGGAAAGAGAGUUAAACAGUACGUGAAAUUGCUGAAAGGGAAACGCUUGAAGUCAGUCGCGUUGGCCGGGGAUCAACCUUGCUUUUGCUGGGCGUACUUUCCGGUUGACGGGUCAGCAUCAAUUUUGACCGUUGGAUAAAGUCCAGGGGAAUGUGGCAUCUUCGGAUGUGUUAUAGCCCUUGGUCGCAUACAACGGUUGGGAUUGAGGAACUCAGCACGCCGCAAGGCCGGGUACUUGUACCACGUUCGUGCUUAGGAUGCUGGCA
rnacentral:rRNA from 1 species